rnacentral:rRNA from 1 species
UACGUAGGGUGCGAGCGUUAAUCGGAAUUACUGGGCGUAAAGGGUGCGCAGGCGGUUGAGUAAGACAGAUGUGAAAUCCCCAAGCUUAACUCGGGAAUGGCAUAUGUGACUGCUCGACUAGAGUGUGUCAGAGGGAGGUGGAAUUCCACGUGUAGCAGUGAAAUGCGUAGAUAUGUGGAAGAACACCGAUGGCGAAGGCAGCCUCCUGGGACAUAACUGACGCUCAGGCACGAAAGCGUGGGGAGCAAACAGG